CCUACGGGAGGCAGCAGUGGGGAAUAUUGGGCAAUGGAGGAAACUCUGACCCAGCAACGCCGCGUGAAUGAUGAAGGUCUUCGGAUUGUAAAGUUCUUUUCUCAGGGAAGAAGAACGUGACGGUACCUUAGGAAUAAGCCUCGGCUAACUACGUGCCAGCAGCCGCGGUAAUACGUAGGAGGCGAGCGUUAUACGGAAUGACUGGGCGUAAAGGGGGCGUAGGUGGUUUGGCAAGUUAGUAGCGUAACUCCAAGGCUCAACCUUGGAACUACUACUAAAACUGUUGGACUUGAGUGCAGGAGGGGCAACCGGAAUUCCUAGUGUAGCGGUGGAAUGCGUAGAUAUUAGGAGGAACACCAGUGGCGAAGGCGGGUUGCUAGACUGUAACUGACAUUGAGGCACGAAAGCGUGGGGAGCAAACAGGAUUAGAUACCCUGGUAGUC
rnacentral:rRNA from 1 species